rnacentral:tRNA from 1 species
ACUACUUUGGCAGACUAAUGUGUUAAAUUUAGAAUUUAUUUAUGUAAUUUUUAUUACAGGUAGUA